UAACCUAGUGGUUAGAGUGUAGGGACGGCAGGUAGCCUAGUGGUUAGAGUGUAGGGACGGCAGGUAGCCUAGUGGUUAGAGUGUAGGGACGGCAGGUAGCCUAGUGGUUAGAGUGUAGGGACGGCAGGUAGCCUAGUGGUUAGAGUGUAGGGACGGCAGGUAACCUAGUGGUUAGAGUGUAGGGACGGCAGGUAGCCUAGUGGUUAGAGUGUAGGGACGGCAGGUAGCCUAGUGGUUAGAGUGUAGGGACGGCAGGUAGCCUAGUGGUUAGAGUGUAGGGACGGCAGGUAGCCUAGUGGUUAGAGUGUAGGGACGGCAGGUAGCCUAGUGGUUAGAGUGUAGGGACGGCAGGUAGCCUAGUGGUUAGAGUGUAGGGACGGCAGGUAGCCUAGUGGUUAGAGUGUAGGGACGGCAGGUAGCCUAGUGGUUAGAGUGUAGGGACGGCAGGUAGCCUAGUGGUUAGAGUGUAGGGACGGCAGGUAGCCUAGUGGUUAGAGUGUAGGGACGGCAGGUAGCCUAGUGGUUAGAGUGUAGGGACGGCAGGUAGCCUAGUGGUUAGAGUGUAGGGCCGGCAGGUAGCCUAGUGGUUAGAGUGUAGGGACGGCAGGUAGCCUAGUGGUUAGAGUGUAGGGAUGGCAGGUAGCCUAGUGGUUAGAGUGUAGGGACGGCAGGUAGCCUAGUGGUUAGAGUGUAGGGAUGGCAGGUAGCCUAGUGGUUAGAGUGUAGGGAUGGCAGGUAGCCUAGUGGUUAGAGUGUAGGGACGGCAGGUAGCCUAGUGGUUAGAGUGUAGAGGCGGCAGGUAGCCUAGUGGUUAGAGUGUAGAGGCGGCAGGUAGCCUAGUGGUUAGAGUGUAGGGACGGCAGGUAGCCUAGUGGUUGGAGUGUAGGGACGGCAGGUAGCCUAGUGGUUAGAGUGUAGGGACGGCAGGUAGCCUAGUGGUUAGAGUGUAGGGACGGCAGGUAGCCUAGUGGUUAGAGUGUAGGGACGGCAGGUAGCCUAGUGGUUAGAGUGUAGGGGCGGCAGGUAGCCUAGUGGUUAGAGUGUAGGGACGGCAGGUAGCCUAGUGGUUAGAGUGUAGGGACGGCAGGUAGCCUAGUGGUUAGAGUGUAGGGACGGCAGGUAGCCUAGUGGUUAGAGUGUAGGGACGGCAGGUAGCCUAGUGGUUAGAGUGUAGGGGCGGCAGGUAGCCUAGUGGUUAGAGUGUAGGGACGGCAGGUAGCCUAGUGGUUAGAGUGUAGGGACGGCAGGUAGCCUAGUGGUUAGAGUGUAGGGACGGCAGGUAGCCUAGUGGUUAGAGUGUAGGGACGGCAGGUAGCCUAGUGGUUAGAGUGUAGGGAAGGCAGGUAGCCUAGUGGUUAGAGUGUAGGGACGGCAGGUAGCCUAGUGGUUAGAGUGUAGGGACGGCAGGUAGCCUCGUGGUUAGAGUGUAGGGGCGGCAGGUAGCCUAAUGGUUAGAGUGUAGGGACGGCAGGUAGCCUAGUGGUUAGAGUGUAGGGACGGCAGGUAGCCUAGUGGUUAGAGUGUAGGGACGGCAGGUAGACUAGUGGUUAGAGUGUAGGGGCGGCAGGUAACCUAGUGGUUAGAGUGUAGGGACGGCAGGUAGCCUAGUGGUUAAAGUGUAGGGACGGCAGGUAGCCUAGUGGUUAAAGUGUAGGGACGGCAGGUAGCCUAGUGGUUAGAGUGUAGGGACGGCAGGUAGCCUAGUGGUUAGAGUGUAGGGGCUGCAGGUAACCUAGUGGUUAGAGUGUAGGGACGGCAGGUAGCCUAGUGGUUAGAGUGUAGGGACGGCAGGUAGCCUAGUGGUUAGAGUGUAGG